rnacentral:rRNA from 1 species
GUGCCAGCAGCCGCGGUAAUACGGAGGGCGCAAGCGUUGUUCGGAAUUACUGGGCGUAAAGCGCGUGUAGGCGGCCUGACAAGUCGGGUGUGAAAUCCCGGAGCUCAACUCCGGAACUGCAUCCGAUACUGUCAGGCUCGAGUCUCGGAGAGGAUGGCGGAAUUUCCGGUGUAGAGGUGAAAUUCGUAGAUAUCGGAAGGAACACCAGUGGCGAAGGCGGCCGUCUGGACGAUGACUGACGCUGAGACGCGAAAGCGUGGGGAGCAAACAGGAUUAGAUACCCUUGUAGUCC